GGACCAUGGAGUGCCGUGGAUGGAUCAAAAACUGUUCUGAGUAGCAACUUCUAUCAAAAGGUUGAAUAAUAUUCUGUUGUAUGGAUCUGUUACAGUUUAUAUUUAAAGGAACUUUAAAGAGACAUCAGCAGAAACUGUCAUUGACUUGUGAGUAAAGAAUGAUAGUCUGUCUCAUGCUGUGCUCUUCAUGGCUUGGAGAUUGACCUAACUGGGGCUGCAAGAGAAUGAAGAAAUGUCAGACACCGAAGAAACAACGGACGCACAUACGGAAAAGCUGGGAUCCUCUCUGAUGGUUCCUGACUGUCUAUGACCUUAUCAGAUGGGAUCUCCCAAGACACUCAUCGAGGUCCUGCUGCCACGGAUGGAACCUGAGCUGCCAUGCCUUCAUAACAGGCAAGCACACCUAUUGCCAGGCCUGACUACCUGAGUUUGAUUCCCAA